UUGGUGACAGGAAAGGUCUUUCCACUGCCC
rnacentral:piRNA from 1 species